rnacentral:rRNA from 1 species
CAGCCGCCGCGGGAAUACAGAGGGUGCAAGCGUUAAUCGGAAUUACUGGGCGUAAAGCGCGCGUAGGUGGUUUGUUAAGUUGAAUGUGAAAUCCCCGGGCUCAACCUGGGAACUGCAUCCAAAACUGGCAAGCUAGAGUAGGGCAGAGGGUGGUGGAAUUUCCUGUGUAGCGGUGAAAUGCGUAGAUAUAGGAAGGAACACCAGUGGCGAAGGCGACCACCUGGGCUCAUACUGACACUGAGGUGCGAAAGCGUGGGGAGCAAACAGGAUUAGAUACCCCGGUAGUCCCUGUCUCUUAUAC